UGAGGAAUAUUGCGCAAUGAGCGAAAGCUAGACGCAGCAACGCCGCGUGGACGAUGAAGGCCUUCGGGUCGUAAAGUCCUUUUCAGAGGGACGAGUGAGGACGGUACCUCUGGAAUAAGUCACGGCUAACUACGUGCCAGCAGCCGCGGUAAAACGUAGGUGGCGAGCGUUAUCCGGAUUCACUGGGCGUAAAGCGCCUGCAGGCGGUCUCGUAAGUGGGAUGUGAAAUCUCCUGGCUUAACUGGGAGGGGCCAUUCCAUACUGCGAGGCUUGAGGGCAGAAGAGGGAAGCGGAAUUCCCGGUGUAGUGGUGAAAUGCGUAGAUAUCGGGAGGAACACCAGUGGCGAAGGCGGCUUCCUGGCCUGCUCCUGACGCUAAGAGGCGAAAGCUAGGGGAGCGAACGGGAUUAGAAACCCCGGUAGUCCUAGCUAUAAACGAUGGAUACUGGGUGUCGGUGGUCCUAACCCCAUCGGUGCCGAAGCUAACGCGUUAAGUAUCCCGCCUGGGGACUACGGCCGCAAGGUUA
rnacentral:rRNA from 1 species